CUCCUACGGGAGGCAGCAGUGGGGAAUAUUGGACAAUGGGCGAAAGCCUGAUCCAGCCAUGCCGCGUGUGUGAAGAAGGUCUUCGGAUUGUAAAGCACUUUAAGUUGGGAGGAAGAGCAGUUACCUAAUACGUGAUUGUUUUGACGUUACCGACAGAAUAAGCACCGGCUAACUCUGUGCCAGCAGCCGCGGUAA
rnacentral:rRNA from 1 species